AGAGUUUGAUCCUGGCUCAGAUUGAACGCUGGCGGCAUGCCUUACACAUGCAAGUCGAACGGUAACAGGUCUUCGGACGCUGACGAGUGGCGAACGGGUGAGUAAUACAUCGGAACGUGCCCAGUCGUGGGGGAUAACUACUCGAAAGAGUAGCUAAUACCGCAUACGAUCUGAGGAUGAAAGCGGGGGACCUUCGGGCCUCGCGCGAUUGGAGCGGCCGAUGGCAGAUUAGGUAGUUGGUGGGAUAAAAGCUUACCAAGCCGACGAUCUGUAGCUGGUCUGAGAGGACGACCAGCCACACUGGGACUGAGACACGGCCCAGACUCCUACGGGAGGCAGCAGUGGGGAAUUUUGGACAAUGGGCGAAAGCCUGAUCCAGCAAUGCCGCGUGCAGGAUGAAGGCCUUCGGGUUGUAAACUGCUUUUGUACGGAACGAAAAAGCUCCUUCUAAUACAGGGGGCCCAUGACGGUACCGUAAGAAUAAGCACCGGCUAACUACGUGCCAGCAGCCGCGGUAAUACGUAGGGUGCGAGCGUUAAUCGGAAUUACUGGGCGUAAAGCGUGCGCAGGCGGUUAUGUAAGACAGAUGUGAAAUCCCCGGGCUCAACCUGGGAACUGCAUUUGUGACUGCAUGGCUAGAGUACGGUAGAGGGGGAUGGAAUUCCGCGUGUAGCAGUGAAAUGCGUAGAUAUGCGGAGGAACACCGAUGGCGAAGGCAAUCCCCUGGACCUGUACUGACGCUCAUGCACGAAAGCGUGGGGAGCAAACAGGAUUAGAUACCCCGGUAGUCCACGCCCUAAACGAUGUCAACUGGUUGUUGGGAAUUAGUUUUCUCAGUAACGAAGCUAACGCGUGAAGUUGACCGCCUGGGGGGUACGGCCGCAAGGUUGAAGCUCAAAGGGAAUUGACGGGGACCCGCACAAGCGGUGGAUGAUGUGGGUUUAAUUCGAUGCAACGCGAAAAACUUUACCACCUUUGACAUGGGCAGGAAGUUUCCAGAGAUGGAUUCGUGCUCGAAAGAAGAACCCUGCACACAGGUGCUGCAUGGCUGUCGUCAGCUCGUGUCG
rnacentral:rRNA from 1 species